rnacentral:lncRNA from 1 species
GGAGGCUACCAAAUGAAAGAGGAAGAAGAGAGGAGUCGAUCAACACCUACCUCGAUGCCUCAAGUCAUCGGAAACGAUGGGAAAUCGCUGGAGAAGUUGUUGCAACGGUGCUAAACGUUUCGGUCGAGAUUUCUCUCAAUCCGGGCUCAAAUCGCGCAAACCAAAGUUUAAAUCAAACUCCUUGUGACGAGUAGAUAUUUUUAGAGUAUCUACUUGCCGGAUUUGGCGGCCGGUGGUCGGAGAACGAGAAGAAAAGGGGGGGGGGGGUGUUGAGAGAGAAGAGCGAGAAAGAGN